UCAAAAUCCUUAUUGCUGCUCUUUCACUGACUGUGUGAUUUUGAGAAUCCAAAUAAUGAGAACUUGAACAUUGUCUUACUCUGUAAUUUUAUUAUGAAGAAUAACUCAUGAAGAUGGUUCUCGGGUUUGGUAAAUUAAAAAAGGUAUGUAAUAAUAUUUACCUCUCAAAUUCAUUUUCCUCUAGGUUUUAUUUUUUUUAAUUUUUAAUUUUUUUAAGUUUAUUUAUUUAUUUUGAGAGAGAGACAGAGAGCACGAGCAGGGGGAGGGGCAAGAGAGAAGGGAUCCCAAGAAGGCUCUACACUCAGUGUGGAGCCUGACAUGGGGCUUGAACUCAUGAAAUGUGAUAUCAUGAGUUCUCAUGAUCAUGAAAUCAAGAGUCGGAUGCUUAACCAACUGAGCCACCCAGGUGCCCCAUUUUCCUCCAGGUUAAAAAAAAAUAAAAUUAAUAAUAGCAUUUAUGGAGUAUUUUUACAUAUCAAGUACUUAGCCUAGUACCUAGCAUAUUAAUAAACCCUUAAUAAAAAUUGAUAAUAAAAAUUAUCAAUACUGUAAUAAAACUUACAUAAUAUAUGCAUUAUUUUUGCUUCCAUUCGAUUGCAGUCAUAUUACUGUCUUUGGAUGAAGAUGCAUGCAGAUGUACACUCACUUAUUCAGCAAUAUUUGUUGAGCGACUACCAUUUAUCACGCAGUGUUCCUGGAGCUAGGGAUAUAGCAGUAAACAAAAAGGAGUUCCUACUCUGAUGAAGUUUAUAUUUUGGCAGGAGGGGGAGGAUUCACAUUAUCGUGGUGGAGAGGCUUAUAUUCCAGUGGGAGUUAGGCCAAGAUAGAGAGGGUAGAAGCAUGAUUAGGAUAUAUUUAGAAAAUAUGUGGAGAACUUUUUUCUGAUUUUUAUAUAAAAUAGUAUUUUAUUAUAUCAGUAGAUUAAGAACAAGCUAUUAAUUUUUAUAAAAAUAUUUAAAUGCAUACUUGUAUAUUUUAUUUUAAAAACAAAUAUACUGGGGCACUUGGGUGGCUCUGUCACUUAAGGGCCUGACUCUUGAUUUUGGCUCACAUCAUGAUCUCAUGGUUGGUGACAUCAAGCCCUGCAUGGGUCUCUGCACUGCUGAUAGCAUGGAGCCUGCUUGGGAUUUUCUCUCUCUGCCCCUUUUGUAUUCUUUGGGUAAAUACCCAAUAAUAGAAUUAUUGAAUCAUAUGGUAAUUCUAUUCUUAAUUUUUUGAGGAACCUCUGUAUUGUUUUCUACAGUUUUCUGGCAGUUUGCAUCUCCACCAACAGCACACAGGGUUCUUUUUCUCCACAUCCUCACCAAACUUAUUUAUUAUGUUUUUUAUUUUAGCUAUUCUGACAGGUGUGAACUGAUACCUCAUUGAUAUGAGAUGGUUUUGAUUUGCAUUUCCUUGAUGAUGAGUGAUAUUGAAUUUUUUCAUGUGUCUGUUGGCCAUCUGUAUGUCUUUUUUGGAGAAAUGUCUACUCAUGUCUUCUGACCAUUAUUUAAUUGGGUUAUUUGGUUUUUGGGUGUAGAAUUGUAUGAGUUAUCUAUGUAUUUUGGAUACUAACCCCUUCUCUUAUUCAGUAGGUUGUCUUUUUGUUUUGUUGAUUGUUUCCUUUGCUGUGCAGAAGCUUUAUAUUUUGAUGUAGUCCCAAUAGUUUAUUUUUGCUUUUAUUUCCCUUGCUAUAGGAGACAUAUCUAGGAAAAAUCUUCAACCUUUUUUAUUACAUGAAGCCCACAGGAUUCCUGGUUCUUCUUUUAAUGGUGAGGCCUCCAUGCUCUGCCUUUCUGUUGGAAAACCCUGUAAGGGUAAGAAACAAGAGAACAUUACAGGGGAAUACUCCCAGAAGAUGUCUCUGAUCUUGGAUUCCUUCUGUUUUACCAAAGGAAAAUUCAAACAGGUGAGCCUCUGACAUGAAGAGACCCAGGCAUAAGUCCACAGCAGCAUG
rnacentral:lncRNA from 1 species